rnacentral:hammerhead_ribozyme from 1 species
ACUCGGCUAAUGAGUCCUAAAUAGGACGAAAUGUGCGUCCUGAAU